CCAAAUCAACAGGUUGAUUUAUCCAUCAGGGAACGACUUAACAUUGUUUUUCUUCCAUCAGUUGGUCCAUCAGAGGCUGAAAUCAUUGGUCCAGACGUCGUUGUCGUCGGCGUCAGGUCUGAAUUUCAGUGCUCUGCCAAAUGCAUUCCCAGCUGUGACUACUUCUGGAUCUAUGAAGGUCGGCUUGUCAAUGGCAGCAAGAUGGAGAUAACGGCCAAUGGAUACGUGGCGUCAGAGAUGAUUAUGUGCUAUGUUGAAAAUACAGUCUCGGCUAAUUUUGAAACGGUCUCCAAGACCAUAAGAGUGAAAGGUAUAAUAUAAAGUUAAUUUACUCUCUAUUCAGAAAAGCCUUCAUUUUAAAAACCCUAGGGCUACAUUGCCUGACUGUGUUCUGUACUUCAAAGCUGUUCUCUUGGACCCAGUCAUUGUUGGACCUGACUUUGUGACGGUGGGUGUGCCAUGCAGUUUUGAGUGUGUUGCCCUGUGCUCUCCCUCCUGUAACUACACCAUGGGUAAAGACGGGCAGGUUGAACCUGGAAACAAUCUGUUCUUCACGGUUGUUCAAUGGAAGGAGACACUAACAAUUACCUGCACUGCAAGAAAUACAUCUGGGGUGUCCUCCACCGUUGAAAAGGUCCUACAGGUUUUAGAGGGACCAAACAACGUAACUAUCAUUGGCCCUGACCUGAUGACCCAAGGGUACUCUGAGAGCUUCCAGUGUCACGCCAACUGUCGUCCCUCCUGCAACUACACCUGGACAGUGGAACAAUCACUUGUGGGAAAUGGGGGCAAUAUUACUAUAAAUUCCUCAGAUUUUGCAUUCCCCGUGAAACUGGACUGCCAGGCAGAAAACAGUGUGUCUGGUCUAUACGCUAUGGCAAGCAGAACCAUCCCUGUGAUAUUUGGUCCAUCAGAGGCUGAAAUCAUUGGUCCAGACGUCGUUGUCGUCGGCGUCAGGUCUGAAUUUCAGUGCUCUGCCAAAUGCAUUCCCAGCUGUGACUACUUCUGGAUCUAUGAAGGUCGGCUUGUCAAUGGCAGCAAGAUGGAGAUGACGGCCAACAGACACGUGAAGUCAGAGAUGAUUACAUGCAAGGUUGAAAAUACGGUCUCAGCUCAUUCUGAAGUGGUCCGCAGGACCAUAAGGGUGGAAGAAAAGUCCAAUGCCACAAAGGUGACACAGAUUAUGGCCCUGUUCCUGUUUGCCCUAACAAUCACAUUUGCCAGUGUAAUCUCACCAUGAUCCAGCAGAGGGCAGUGUGGUACAAG
rnacentral:lncRNA from 1 species